GCCUAGCAACAGAAGGGGCUGGAAGGAGGGAGUCUUCAGUUGCUUUUUAGAAGAAGGAAAGUGUAUUGGGAACUAGAUGCCAGUAGUUUAUGUUUAUGCUUUGGGAGAAGGAUGUGUGGCUUGGUAAGCCCAGAGAAAGGGGAGAGGCAGGUGAGGCCCAGAGGGAAAGCAACAAGAUAUGGAGUAGGUCAAACUUCCUCUGCUAAUGAGAGGGCCCGUGAGCCAGGCCCUGGAAGAGAGGGUGGCCCUAGGUUCUUCUACUAGCUACUGAGGAAGUGGUACCAGCUGGGUAGUCAGUGGUAAGACUGCCUGAGACCAUCUCUCAUGAGAGAGUUUGCAAACCCAGAUGGGGAAACAAAUGGUGACUCUGCCAGGAGGCAGAAUCAUGAAGAAGAGACUGGGGUUCCUGGAGUGGAAAGGUCCCUUGAGUGACAAAUGAGGAAAGAGACACUGCUAUAGGAGGACACAAUAUCUGGCCACAGCUAAUACCUGGGAUAGUGUGGAGGAGGCACCACUAGUGGUGAGGUUACCCCUUGAGAUGCUGUCAGUCCCUUAGGGCACCAUUUUGCAGUCCCCUCACUAAACCCACCCCUCCAAUGAUUUUCCAACUAAAUUAUUACGUUACACCCUGCUGAUUGAUUGCCAAUGGUGACCAGCAGGGCAACUGGUUUAGCAACUGCAAGAGUUUCCCUUUGGGUGCCUCUGGAUGCCAACCAUUUGCAAUGAUGCAGAAGCAGCUUCUUCAAAACAAGGCCGGUGUGGCUCGCCUCCAAAGUUCAGUUUUGCUGAGGUGCCCAGGGGAGUGAGGAGUAGCUAUCCUGUUGGAUUCCAUCUGAGCUACUCCUGUCGCCCGGGAUACACUUUGGACCCUCAAAAGUCUCCUGUAGGUACAUGUGGUGCAGAUUCAACAUGGUCAAUAGACCCUGAGUUUUGUGUAGUUACAAAAUAAUUGGACCGACUUCUGCCCAAUGUGUGAUUGCAGGAAAUGGAGUUGAUUGGGAUAAGGAGGUUCCACUUUGCCAAGGUUUCUGCAGGUAAACCAGGAGCAUAUCUGCCUGUCUUCACAGGAGACCAGAUCUGAGUGUCUGUCAGCUCUAAGCACAGCCGGAACUCUGGAGAAAUGACAUAAUGUCCACAAAUGAUAAGCAACAAGACAGGGCAGUUCCAACAUCUCAUGCUGCCUAAUGGGACCUCUCUUGUCAAAGACUGUACUUAUGUGCAUGCAUGCUCUCUCUCCCCCUCCCCUCCCAACCCCAUAUCCCCACAAUUGCCUGUGACAGAACUGCCAUUGCAGGUGGUCAUUAAUUCAGCAGGUGUAGUUUGAUACUUUAUCUAGCCUUUUCUUAACUCAAGUAAAGACUAAAGCUUGCCUACCAGGUUCUAUCAAAACUGAUGCCCCAAGGAAUCAGACCC